UACGUAGGUGGCGAGCGUUGUCCGGAUUUACUGGGCGUAAAGGGAGCGUAGGCGGAUUUUUAAGUGAGAUGUGAAAUACUCGGGCUCAACUUGAGUGCUUCAUUUCAAACUGGAAGUCUAGAGUGCAGGAGAGGAGAAUGGAAUUCCUAGUGUAGCGGUGAAAUGCGUAGAGAUUAGGAAGAACACCAGUGGUGAAGGCGAUUCUCUGGACUGUAACUGACGCUGAGGCUCGAAAGCGUGGGGAGCAAACAGG
rnacentral:rRNA from 1 species